UUGGGAGAACGGGGACAUACGUAGCCUUUGAUUACCUAAUGGACGAAGCCAAUAAGAAAGGAACUGUUGACGUCACAAACUGCAUCGGAAAACUACGUCAGCAAAGACCGUUUAUGGUGCAAACCUCGGAAGAGUACCGUUUUCUGCACGAAGCCUUAUCUGAAAAUCUCACACAUUUGUAUGUGGACGUCAUAUCCUGAAA